GACGAACGCUGGCGGCGUGCUUAACACAUGCAAGUCGAACGGAAAGGCCCUGCUUUUGUGGGGUGCUCGAGUGGCGAACGGGUGAGUAACACGUGAGUAACCUGCCCUUGACUUUGGGAUAACUUCAGGAAACUGGGGCUAAUACCGGAUAGGAGCUCCUGCUGCAUGGUGGGGGUUGGAAAGUUUCGGCGGUUGGGGAUGGACUCGCGGCUUAUCAGCUUGUUGGUGGGGUAGUGGCUUACCAAGGCUUUGACGGGUAGCCGGCCUGAGAGGGUGACCGGCCACAUUGGGACUGAGAUACGGCCCAGACUCCAUCGUGAGGCAGCAGUGGGGAAUAUUGCACAAUGGGCGGAAGCCUGAUGCAGCAACGCCGCGUGCGAGAUGACGGCCUUCGGGUUGUAAACCGCUUUCGCCUGUGACGAAGCGUGAGUGACGGUAAUGGGUAAAGAAGCACCGGCUAACUACGUG
rnacentral:rRNA from 1 species